rnacentral:rRNA from 1 species
CGGGUUGUAAAGCACUUUCAGUAGGGAGGAAGGUAGUGUAGUUAACACCUGCAUUAUUUGACGUUACCUACAGAAGAAGCACCGGCUAACUCCGUGCCAGCAGCCGCGGUAAUACGGAGGGUGCGAGCGUUAAUCGGAAUUACUGGGCGUAAAGCGCAUGCAGGCGGCCUGUUAAGUCAGAUGUGAAAGACCCGGGGCGUUAACCUCGGAAUUGCAUUUGUAAACUGGCAGGCUAGAGUCUUGUAGAGGGGGGUAGGAAUUUCAGGUGUAGCGGUGAAAUGCGUAGAGAUCUGAAGGAAUACCAGUGGCGAAGGCGGCCCCCUGGACAAAGACUGACGCUCAGAUGCGAAAGCGUGGGGAGCAAACAGGAUUAGAUACCCUGGUAG